rnacentral:rRNA from 1 species
UGAAGCACGAAAGCCAGGCGAGCGAACGGGAAUAGAUACCCCGGUAGUCCUGGCCGGAAACGUUGAACACUCGAUGUCGGGGGUAUCGACCCCCUCGGUGUCGGAGCUAACGCGUUAAGUGUUCCGCCUGGGGAGUACGACCGCAAGGUUGAUACUCAAAGGAAUUGACGGGGGCCCGCACAAGCGGUGGAGGAUGUGGUUUAAUUCGACGCAACGCGAAGAACCUUACCUGGGCUUAAACCGCAGGGUAAACCCUCUGAAAGGAGGGCUGCUUCGGCAAUCCUGUAGAGGUGCUGCAUGGCUGUCGUCAGCUCGUGUCGUGAGAUGUUGGGUUAAGUCCCGCAACGAGCGCAACCAUUGCUCUUAGUUACCAGCGCGUAAUGNCGCGCACUCUAAGAGGACUGCCCUCGCAAGCGGGAGGAAGUNGGCGAUGACGUCAAGUCCUCAUGGCACCUUAUGUCCAGGGCUACACACGUCAUACAAUGCACGGUACAAAGGGCUGCAAGCUCGCGAGAGUAGCUNAAUCCCAAAAGCCCGGUCACAGUUCGGAUNGCAGUCUGCAACUCGACUGCAUGA